rnacentral:rRNA from 1 species
UCCUGGCUUAGAACGAACGCUGGCGGCGCGUCUUAAGCAUGCAAGUCGAACGGCAAGAGGUAGCAAUACCUCCUAGAGUGGCGGACUGGUGAGUAACACGUGGGUGACAUACCCUUCAGAUGGGGAUAGCUAUUAGAAAUAGUAGAUAAUACCGAAUACGAGCACAGGGGUUAGAGAUCUGUGAGGAAAGGAGCUAAGGCUCCGCUGAAGGAAUGGCCUGCGGCCCAUUAGCUAGUUGGUGAGGUAAGAGCCCACCAAGGCGAUGAUGGGUAUCCGGCCUUAGAGGGUGAACGGACACAUUGGGACUGAGAUACGGCCCAGACUCCUACGGGAGGCAGCAGCUAAGAAUAUUCCGCAAUGGACGAAAGUCUGACGGAGCGACGCCGCCGUGGAUGAAGAAGGCCGGAAGGUUGUAAAAUCCUUUUGAAACUGAAGAAUAAGCGUUGUAGGGAAUGACAGCGUGGUGACAGUAGGUUUUGAAUAAGCAACGGCUAAUUACGUGCCAGCCGCCGC